GACGAUUGUUGUUCUACGCAGCCAGGUGACUUCGUCGGAGCUACGGAGCUUACUUCGUCCUCCACGGGCUGUUCAGACUACACUCUCGGAUAAAUUGGAUUGUACUGACGACCUACGUGUUAUUUAACCUGGAGCUUGCUCGGUUAAACUAACAAGGGCAAAAGGCCCCAU